UGGGGAAUAUUGCACAAUGGGCGGAAGCCUGAUGCAGCGACGCCGCGUGAGGGAUGACGGCCUUCGGGUUGUAAACCUCUUUCAGUAGGGACGAAGCGUAAGUGACGGUACCUGCAGAAGAAGCACCGGCUAACUACGUGCCAGCAGCCGCGGUAAUACGUAGGGUGCGAGCGUUGUCCGGAAUUACUGGGCGUAAAGGGCCCGUAGGCGGUUUGUCACGUCGUCUGUGAAAUCCUAGGGCUUAACCCUGGACGUGCAGGCGAUACGGGCUGACUUGGGUACUACAGGGGAGACUGGAAUUUCUGGUGUAGCGGUGGAAUGCACAGAUAUCAGGAAGAACACCGAUGGCGAAGGCAGGUCUCUAGGUAGUAACUGACGCUGAGGAGCGAAAGAAUGGGUAGCGAACAGG
rnacentral:rRNA from 1 species